GAAAAUAUAAGGGAUUUUGGCCUUUGGGUAUCUGGGUGUUGCAUUCUUCUGGUAUUAGUGAUAAGACCUACAAAGUGAAGCAAUGUGCAUCUAGAAUGAUGGUAAAUAUUCCUUGUUGGAUCUAUUGGCAAGGGCAACAAGUGUCUACGAAAAUAAAUUGAAUGUAUUAGUAUUGUAUUUUGAGAGCAAAAAUGGUGGAGAAGCAUCUUGUCCUUGUAAUUUGGUUUCCUCAUAGAUUGAAUAUUUCUUUUUCUGGGUUUUAGAUUUGUAAAGCAGAAGACCAUUUUUUGAAAAUAA